GACGAACGCUGGCGGCGUGCUUAACACAUGCAAGUCGAACGGAAAGGCCCUGCUUUUGUGGGGUGCUCGAGUGGCGAACGGGUGAGUAACACGUGAGUAACCUGCCCCUGACUUUGGGAUAACUUCAGGAAACUGGGGCGAAUACCGGAUAGGAGCUCCUGCUGCAUGGGGGGGGUUGGAAAGUUUCGGCGGUUGGGGAUGGACUCGCGGCUUAUCAGCUUGUUGGUGGGGUAGUGGCUUACCAAGGCUUUGACGGGUAGCCGGCCUGAGAGGGUGACCGGCCACCUUGGGACUGCGAUACGGCCCAGACUCCUACGGGAGGCAGCAGUGGGGAAUAUUGCACAAUGGGCGGAAGCCUGAUGCAGCAACGCCGCGUGCGGGAUGACGGCCUUCGGGUUGUAAACCGCUUUCGCCUGUGCCGAAGCGUGAGUGACGGUAAUGGGUAAAGAAGCACCGGCUAACUACGUG
rnacentral:rRNA from 1 species